rnacentral:rRNA from 1 species
CCCGUACGUGGUCGCUGGCUAUUGCCGUGUAAAGCCCCUUCGACGAGUCGAGUUGUUUGGGAAUGCAGCUCUAAAUGGGAGGUACAUUUCUUCUAAAGCUAAAUAUUGGCCAGAGACCGAUAGCGCACAAGUAGAGUGAUCGAAAGAUGAAAAGCACUUUGGAAAGAGAGUCAAACAGCACGUGAAAUUGUUGAAAGGGAAGCGCUUGCAGCCAGACUUGCUUACAGUUGCUCAUCCGGGUUUCUACCCGGUGCACUCUUCUGUAGGCAGGCCAGCAUCAGUUUGGGCGGUAGGAUAAAGGUCUCUGUCACGUACCUCCUUUCGGGGAGGCCUUAUAGGGGAGACGACAUACUACCAGCCUGGACUGAGGUCCGCGCAUCUGCUAAGAUGCUGGCGUAAUGGCUGUAAGCGGCCCGUCCUGAAACACGGACCAAGGAGUCUAACGUCUAUGCGAGUGUUUGGCUGUCAAGCCCG